rnacentral:lncRNA from 1 species
AAGGCCUGGGUGUGACCCUGCAGCACCAGCGGGGUCCCCUCCCUGUGCCCCGUCAUCAUCAUCAUCAUCAUCAUCAUCAUCAUCCUCGGCCCUCUGUGGGGAGGUGUCACUGCUCAGCCUGGGCACUGCUGUGGUGUAUCCCAAAAAAUCCCCCAAAAAUCCAAAAAAAUCCCCCAAAAUCCCAAAAAUCUGCAAUGGAGUGGAGACACACGUGGGACAGGUGUGGGGUCAGCAGGGCAGCUUCAUCCUUCCAAAUCCCCCUGUCCUUUACCCCAAAAAUCCCCAAAAUCUGCAAUGGAAUGGAGAGACAGUGUGGGACAGGUGUGGGUUGGGCAGGGCAGCUUCAUCCCCAUAAAUCCCCCUGUGAUUUAUCCCAAAAAUCCCAGGGCAGCUUCAUCCUCCUAAAUCCCCCUGUGGUUUAUCCCAAAAAUCCCAGGGCAGCUUCAUCUUCAUCCUCUUAAAUCACCCUGUGGUUUAUCCCAAAAAACUCCAACUGAAUGAAAACAC